rnacentral:rRNA from 1 species
CAGUGGGGGAUAUUGCGCAAUGGGGGAAACCCUGACGCAGCAACGCCGCGUGAAGGAAGAAGGUCUUCGGAUUGUAAACUUUUGUCUUUGGGGAAGAAAAAAAUGACGGUACCCAAGGAGGAAGCCCCGGCUAACUACGUGCCAGCAGCCGCGGUAAUACGUAGGGGGCAAGCGUUGUCCGGAAUUAUUGGGCGUAAAGGGCGCGUAGGCGGGCCUUUAAGUCCGGUGUGAAAGAUCAGGGCUCAACCCUGAGAGUGCAUCGGAAACUGGAGGCCUUGAGGACAGGAGAGGAAAGUGGAAUUCUACGUGUAGCGGUGAAAUGCGUAGAUAUGUGGAGGAACACCAGUGGCGAAGGCGACUUUCUGAACUGUAACUGGCGCUGAGGCGCGAAAGCGUGGGGAGCAAACA